rnacentral:lncRNA from 1 species
GUACAUGCUGUUUUCUGCCUUGAAGAGUAUUUGUCCCUUUUUUGUUGUUUGUUUUUGUUUAGUUAUUAUUUGUUUUUUUAAUAAUAUAUUUUUUAUUACACAAAUGAAUUGAUUACAUCUGUAGUUGUAUAAUGAUCAUCACAAUCCAAUUUCACAGGAUUUCCAUCCCAUAACCCAAGCACAUCUCCCCAAACUGUCUCCUCCGGAGGCCAUAAGUUUGUCAAUGUCUGUGAGCCUUUUUUUUUUUUUUUUUUGUCUAGCUAACUCAGUCAUGGUUUCCCCGGAACAGCCUUUGCAUGCAUCGACUCUCCACAACUCUGUGAGAGCUGGCACUGUAUUUGUGUGGCUGACUCCACUUCCCUUUCCUCCCCCUGUUUACUCUCUAGUCCCACGAGCCUUUUUUUUUUUUUUUUUGGCUGUGUGGCCCUAAAAAGAGUUGAAGGGGAUGAAUUAUGAGCCAGGUGGAUAUUUCUGCUGUGGUGUUGGCGCAGGUUGCAACUGCGGUGGCGUGGGUUCCAUCCCUGGCCUGGGGCGUGUCCACAUGCUGCAGGUCCAGCCCCAAACAAGUACAAAAGAGACAGCAGGGGCCAAGGCCCAGAGGCAGGACUGUGCCUGGUGCGUGGAGAACAGCCAGGAUGUCAGUACACCCAGAGCAAGGUUUUAGGAAAGGAGCCUGCGGCCAGGCGAGGUCACAGAGAACCCAGGGACCAUUUCAUGCAGGACCUUGGCCACCAUGAGGUCUUGAUUUUCCUUUGUUUGAGAUCAUGGCGCAACUUGAGCCAAGGAAGGUCAUGAUCUGACUUGACUGGCACAGCUCCUGCCUUAAUCGCGGACUGUAUCGAGGGAGGGGUGGGAGCAGGCAUCACUGCGAGGUGCUGCAGUAAUCUGGGCAUGAGAUAGCAGCUUUUUUUUUUUUUUUUUUUUUUGGUUUUUUUUGGGCCCCCCCACAACAUAUGGAGGUUCCCAGGCUAGGGGUCCAAUCGAAGCUACAGCUGCAGGCCCGCACCACAGCCACAGCAACUCGGGAUCCAAGCCGCAUCUGCGACCUACCCCACAGCUCAUGGCAGUACCAGAUCCUUAACCCACUGAGCGAGGCCAGGGCUCGAACCUGUGUCCUCAGGAAUACUAGUCAGAUUUUGUUUCCACUGAGCCACGACGGGAACUCAGAGCAACCUGAAUCAAGGAAAGACGUGCAGCUCAGGGACAAAGUGGUGAUAGCAACAGUGUGGAGGGGGGUCCGAGAUCGGACGUGAAGGUAGAACCAAAGGCAUUUGCAGACUGUUGGGUAAGGAAGAAAAGAGAAGAGUCAGGGAUCAGUAGUCAGGACAGAGGCAGUGGCUUGUGCCCUCUGCCUUAAUGGAAGUGUUCUAGAUCUGCCCUGUCCAAUAUGGAAGCCACCAGCCUUACAUGGCCAUGAAGCACGUGGAAUGUGGCCAGAGCAAUGAGGAACUGACCUUAAUCCUAUGUAGCUGUAAUGACUUAAAUCUGUAUCGUCCCACCUCUGUGACAACAGAAGUCAUGGA